rnacentral:rRNA from 1 species
GAUGAACGCUGGCGGCGUGCCUAACACAUGCAAGUCGAACGGAGUCCAGCCUUUAAGACCUUCGGGUCAAAGAGGGGAAGACUGAGUGGCGGACGGGUGAGUAACACGUGGGCAACCUGGCUCAUAGAGGGGGAUAACAGAGAGAAAUUUCUGCUAAUACCGCAUAAGCACACACUGCCGCAUGGCAGAGGGUGAAAAGAGAAUCGCUAUGAGAUGGACCCGCGUCUGAUUAGCCAGUUGGCAGGGUAAGAGCCUACCAAAGCGACGAUCAGUAGCCGAUCUGAGAGGAUGCACGGCCACAUUGGGACUGAGACACGGACCCAACUCCUACGGGAGGCAGCAGUGGGGGAUAUUGCACAAUGGGGGGAACCCUGAUGCAGCGACGCCGCGUGAGUGAAGAAGUAUUUCGGUAUGUAAAGCUCUAUCAGCAGGGAAGAUAAUGACAGUACCUGAAUAAGAAGCCCCGGCUAACUACGUG